rnacentral:rRNA from 1 species
UACGUAGGGUGCGAGCGUUAAUCGGAAUUACUGGGCGUAAAGCGUGUGCAGGCGGUCUGUUAAGACAGGUGUGAAAUCCCCGGGCUUAACCUGGGAAUUGCGCUUGUUACUGGCAGACCAGAGUGCGUCAGAGGGAGGUGGAAUUCCACGUGUAGCAGUGAAAUGCGUAGAGAUCUGGAGGAACACCGAUGGCGAAGGCAGCCUUCUGGGCCAACACUGACGCUCAUGCACGAAAGCGUGGGGAGCAAACAGG